AUAAACCAAGAUUCUUGUUCUUACUAUUUUUAUGAACUACAUAGUACCAAUGAGAAAUUUGAGAAUACAAUCAUUGCAUAAACGGCCAUUUUAUUAUAACAAUUAAUUAUGAUGGGUCUCAUUUGACUUCUUUCAUAAUCAACUAUUAAAAUCUAUCCAUUAUACAAAACUCUAUUCUAGUUGCUUUACAAGUUCCUCAACCUCAAAAGCUACCUUUGUAAAAAGUUGGGAAAUUAAAUAAAUACAUCCAAUGUAAUGGCGUAUUCUGCUCCUAAGUUUCCCUUUCACCAUUCUUUCUUAACUUCAUGUGUAAUAUGCUAGAUGUGUAUUAUUUAAUUGUUUUAAUUAAUACUAUUUUAUUUUAUUUUAGGAAAAUUUACAAUUUAGUCUCUAAGUUUUGUCCUAUAUUAUAUUUUAGUCCUUUUGAAUUUUGGAAAAUUAAUUAUUUAGUCUAUGGGUUUUGCUCUCUAUCACACUUUAAGUCUUUAAAUUUUGGAAAAUUAAUUAUUUAGUCUAUGGGUUUUGCUCUCUAUCACACUUUAAGUCUUUA
rnacentral:misc_RNA from 1 species